UCAUUAACUGCGAAUAAAGCUGCUAUAAACACCUUGUGUCGGUUGUUUGUGGACACAGUGUUGAGACCACUUGGAUAAGUUCUCAGGAGCAUGAUUGCUAGGUAAUUGGAGAGAGACUGUGUUUAGCUCUGGAAGAAGCCGCCAGACGGUCCUCAGCGUGGCUGCCCCGUGUUGCGUGGCCCCUGCCGCGAACGAGACCCCACUGCCCUGCGUCCUCGCCGGUGCGUGUGUUGUCGGGUUCGGGAUUCGGGUCGUUCUCACGGGCGUGUGGCGGGGGCUCCUUGUUUGAUCUGCAAUUGUGUCGUGACACACGAUGUGCCCGUCUGCUCCCUGCGUAGCUUCUUGGGUGAGCUGUCCUUUCGGAUUUGCCAUUUUAAUUAGUUGUUUCCUUGUUGUUGAGCUGUAAGAGUUCUUUGCAUAUUUUGGACACAAGCCUUUUAUCAGAUGUGCGUUUUGUGAGGGCUUCAUGUUUAAACAUGUUCUUUCUCACAAUAUGAUGCCUUUCCAAUAGCUCGUGGGGAGAGAGCCCUGCUCCUGAGGCCGUGGUGAGGAGUGGGGAGGGGUCGAGGAUCGGGAGAGAGGCGCCCCCUGGGCCACGCCUGCCGCUGUGGCUCGGACGCCGGUCAUCGUGGACACAGGCUGGGACUGUUUGUCUGGAAGAGCAGCCCCGUGCUAUCGCCGGCCUUGCUUCCCUUUUCCGUCACGACUUUUAUUGUGCAAACUCCCGAUGGGCGUCUACCUCAAGCCUCUGGACCGUCUGCCUCCCCUCCGUCAAGAAUGGAAAAGCUCCCGGGAGCAGGUGCUUGGGGUCAACGCUGCUCCCUCAGAAACAACCCUUAGCCAUCGCACGGUGCUUCGUCCCACGGAGGGAAGGGAACUUUCCAGAGUGUUGUCAACGUCUGGCCAAAGCCCAGCACCCCACCCCAUCUGUGCCAGUCACUACGGGUUGUGAUUCCCUGGCAUCUAUUUACCUGAGACGAUGCUCCAGCAGCAGGAAGGAAAACACACAUGAAACCAGCACCACAAUCUUUCUCUUCAAAUUCAUCGUCUCCUGGGCGAAAAAGGAGAAGAGGAGGAGAUGUCAGAUAGUCAACAUUCACACGCCUUUGCCACUUGCAACCAUGGUUUACAACGUCUAAUCUGCAGACAUGGGGACACCAACCACAGCCCCUGCUUCCAGAACGCUCGGCCAGCAGCACCAGGCCGGCCGGGGUGGGGGUGGGGGUGGGGGGCUCUGUCCUCCCGCAGCUCCUCGGGGCGCCGGGUGCCCUCCCCGGGACCGAGUGCAGCGGCCGUGGUCCUCCUCGAUUGCUCAGCGAAUGCCACCCGCGUGGCAGAAAAGAGACGCAUGAAAUCUCCCCCAUGUCACGGCUGGGAAAGUAAAGCGAGGUCACGAGAGGAAGUCUUCCUGAACUAGGAGGCGUGGUAUGUCCCCGGAGUAGAUCUCUUGUUCUUUUUUCUCCCACAGAUAGUAGGAUGGCUCAUUUGUCCCAAGACUAAAAGGGGGUUUAAACAAAAACUACGAGCUCCCGCGAAGGUCGGUGCUUGUAGACAGGGAUUAAAGCCCAAAGCGUAGGCCCUACAUUGAAAUGUGGAGCUCGGCUCCAGCCAGCCCCCCGAGCUCACACUGGAAGGUUUACGCGGGGUUUCUGUUCACACGUCUGGAGGGUUACGUGGCCGAAGCAGAGCGGAGGCCUCUGAUGCCUCACUUCUGAGCACUCAGUUAACGGGCAAGAGGCUCUCGAUCCGCGCUGAGCAGCUCAGUCGCCACCAGCCACGUGCGGCUGCUCUGACCUCAGCUGUCCCCCGAGUGCACAAAACACACUGAAGGCAGACGCAGGGGAAAGAAAGGAAGUAAGGGAUCUCCUUAAUAAUGUCACAUUGGUACGAUCUUGAAAUUAUAAUAGGCUGGGUCUACCCAACUAAGUGCCGAUACGCUGUGAAAAUUAAUCCACUCGUUCCUUUUAGCUUUGACAACGUGGCCACUAGAAAAGUGGAUGCUGCAAAUGCCGUUCUUCCGCCAGACGGUCCGCUUGGACAGCACCGCCCUGGACACGGCUUUCACGCCCGUGACGGGCAACGGGCCACCACUCGAAUUCAAGGGCGUCAGAGAUGCCAGGUGACGUCCACCCCAGCCCAGGAGCGCGUCCCUCGUGCUCCCCAGCAAGCCUACGCAGGACUCCCCUCUCCGACCACAGAGGUGACACGUUCCUGUGCCGUGCGGCCUGUCGGGUCCACUAGCGAGCAACGAAAUCACAGUCACGCGUGACCCCUGCGUCCUGAUCUGUGGUCGUAACAUGAGUCUUCCUUUACCCUCCCCUUUGGAAAUAAAGGCGCCGUUAUUACUGGGAAA